AAUUCACUAGUGAUUUUGGAGGGCAAGUCUGGUGCCAGCAGCCGCGGUAAUUCCAGCUCCAAUAGCGUAUAUUAAAGUUGUUGCAGUUAAAAAGCUCGUAGUUGAAUUUCGAGAUCAAUUUUCUUGGUCAUACCUUUGUAUGUACUGGUCUUAUUGAUUUCUCCCUUCUGAUGAACCAUGAUGUCAUUAAUUUGGUGUUAUGGGGAAUCAGGACUAUUACUUUGAAAAAAUUAGAGUGUUUAAAGCAGGCUCACGCUUGAAUACAUUAGCAUGGAAUAAUGAAAUAGGACGUUUGAUUCUAUUUUGUUGGUUUCUAGGAUUGACGUAAUGAUUAAUAGGGAUAGUUGGGGGCAUUAGUAUUCAAUUGUCAGAGGUGAAAUUCUUGGAUUUAUUGAAGACUAACUACUGCGAAAGCAUUUGCCAAAGAUGUUUUCAUUAAUCAAGAACGAAAGUUAGGGGAUCGAAGACGAUCAGAUACCGUCGUAGUCUUAACCAUAAACUAUGCCGACUAGGAAUCGGAUGAUGUUAAUUUUUUGAUGACUCAUUCGGCGCCUUACGGGAAACAAUC
rnacentral:rRNA from 1 species